GACGAACGCUGGCGGCGUGCUUAACACAUGCAAGUCGAACGGAAAGGCCCUGCUUUUGUGGGGUGCUCGAGUGGCGAACGGGUGAGUAACACGUGAGUAACCUGCCCUUGACUUUGGGAUAACUUCAGGAAACUGGGGCUAAUACCGGAUAGGAGCUCCUGCUGCAUGGUGGGGGUUGGAAAGUUUCGGCGGUUGGGGAUGGACUCGCGGCUUAUCAGCUUGUUGGUGGGGUAGUGGCUUACCAGGGCUUUGACGGGUAGCCGGCCUGAGAGGGUGACCGGCCACAUUGGGACUGUGAUACGGCCCAGACUCCUACGGGAGGCAGCAGUGGGGAAUAUUGCACAAUGGGCGGAAGCCUGAUGCAGCAACGCCGCGUGCGGGAUGACGGCCUUCGGGUUGUAAACCGCUUUCGCCUGUGACGAAGCGUGAGUGACGGUAAUGGGUAAAGAAGCACCGGCUAACUACGUG
rnacentral:rRNA from 1 species